rnacentral:rRNA from 1 species
ACGAACGCUGGCGGCGUGCCUAAUACAUGCAAGUAGAACGCUGAAGAGAGGAGCUUGCUCUUCUUGGAUGAGUUGCGAACGGGUGAGUAACGCGUAGGUAACCUGCCUUGUAGCGGGGGAUAACUAUUGGAAACGAUAGCUAAUACCACAUAACAAUGGAUGACACAUGUCAUUUAUUUGAAAGGGGCAAUUGCUCCACUACAAGAUGGACCUGCGUUGUAUUAGCUAGUAGGUGAGGUAACGGCUCACCUAGGCGACGAUACAUAGCCGACCUGAGAGGGUGAUCGGCCACACUGGGACUGAGACACGGCCCAGACUCCUACGGGAGGCAGCAGUAGGGAAUCUUCGGCAAUGGGGGCAACCCUGACCGAGCAACGCCGCGUGAGUGAAGAAGGUUUUCGGAUCGUAAAGCUCUGUUGUAAGUCAAGAACGAGUGUGAGAGUGGAAAGUUCACACUGUGACGGUAGCUUACCAGAAAGGGACGGCUAACUACGUGCCAGCAGCCGCGGUAAUACGUAGGUCCCGAGCGUUGUCCGGAUUUAUUGGGCGUAAAGCGAGCGCAGGCGGUUUGAUAAGUCUGAAGUUAAAGGCUGUGGCUCAACCAUAGUUCGCUUUGGAAACUGUCAAACUUGAGUGCAGAAGGGGAGAGUGGAAUUCCAUGUGUAGCGGUGAAAUGCGUAGAUAUAUGGAGGAACACCGGUGGCGAAAGCGGCUCUCUGGUCUGUAACUGACGCUGAGGCUCGAAAGCGUGGGGAGCGAACAGGAUUAGAUACCCUGGUAGUCCACGCCGUAAACGAUGAGUGCUAGGUGUUGGAUCCUUUCCGGGAUUCAGUGCCGCAGCUAACGCAUUAAGCACUCCGCCUGGGGAGUACGACCGCAAGGUUGAAACUCAAAGGAAUUGACGGGGGCCCGCACAAGCGGUGGAGCAUGUGGUUUAAUUCGAAGCAACGCGAAGAACCUUACCAGGUCUUGACAUCCCGAUGCUAUUUCUAGAGAUAGAAAGUUACUUCGGUACAUCGGUGACAGGUGGUGCAUGGUUGUCGUCAGCUCGUGUCGUGAGAUGUUGGGUUAAGUCCCGCAACGAGCGCAACCCCUAUUGUUAGUUGCCAUCAUUCAGUUGGGCACUCUAGCGAGACUGCCGGUAAUAAACCGGAGGAAGGUGGGGAUGACGUCAAAUCAUCAUGCCCCUUAUGACCUGGGCUACACACGUGCUACAAUGGUUGGUACAACGAGUUGCGAGUCGGUGACGGCAAGCUAAUCUCUUAAAGCCAAUCUCAGUUCGGAUUGUAGGCUGCAACUCGCCUACAUGAAGUCGGAAUCGCUAGUAAUCGCGGAUCAGCACGCCGCGGUGAAUACGUUCCCGGGCCUUGUACACACCGCCCGUCACACCACGAGAGUUUGUAACACCCGAAGUCGGUGAGGUAACCUUUUGGAGCCAGCCGCCUAAGGUGGGAUAGAUGA